rnacentral:rRNA from 1 species
UACGUAGGUGGCAAGCGUUGUCCGGAUUUAUUGGGUUUAAAGGGUGCGUAGGCGGUCCUGUAAGUCAGUGGUGAAAUACGGCAGCUCAACUGUCGAGGUGCCAUUGAUACUGCGGGACUUGAGUACAGUCGAGGUAGGCGGAAUUGACGGUGUAGCGGUGAAAUGCUUAGAUAUCGUCAAGAACACCGAUAGCGAAGGCAGCUUACUAGGCUGUAACUGACGCUGAGGCACGAAGGUGCGGGGAUCAAACAGG